CUAACUGGUGCUUCAGGUUUUUAAGGCCGGCUCGCGGGAGCGGGUACCCAUUGUCUGCUGAAGCAGCCGUCUGUCUGCCAAGAAGGUGAAUGCGAACUGGUGUGUGGCAGAUCCUACCGAGGCAGAUAGACAGCAGGACACCCGUGACUCGCAAGCCUGAAGAAAAGUCUGUCCAUCACGUUUGCCCUCUUCUGCAGGGAGGCUAGUAAGAUGGGAGAAGUGAAAAGUUCUCGGCAGGACAGUAAAAUUUCCAGAACAGUCCUUUGCAGUUCUCCACUACUGGACUGACAAGACAAAGCUGAUGAAAACUGAACUGCCUUUAUGUACAGACAUCAUAAAAAAAAUGCACAUACACUGGAGAUUUUCCAAGGAACAGGAGCUGGAAAUAAAAUUUAAGGG